rnacentral:rRNA from 1 species
GACUGACCGUAAUUGGUCGGGCGCCCCCAGGGCACUCUGUACCGUUUCGUGUUUGUCAUCCUUCCAGAGAGUUGUGCCUACCGUCUCGUACGGCAGGGCGCUACGAUCUGGAUCGUUUACUUUGAAAAAAUUAGAGUGUUCCAAGCAAGCUUACGCUUUGAAUACAUUAGCAUGGAAUAAUAAUAUAGGACUUCUGUUCUAUUUUGUUGGUUUCUAGGAUGGAAGUA